rnacentral:lncRNA from 1 species
AAAAAUAAAGAAAAUUACUGAGUUAUCGAGUUUUGAGAAGCAAAAAAAUCAGGAGAGCCAGAGGUUCACUGAAGGGACUAAGAGAAAUCUCAUGUCUGACAGGAGAUUAUGGGAUGAGGAAGAGAAAAGAAAAGGCAAGGAGAGGAUAAUGGAAGAGAAAACUAGUAGGAUGCUUCAGGAGGAAAAAAGGAUGCAAGAAGAGCAUCAUAGAUUAUUUGAUGCCAGAAGGUAUCAAGAAGCAUUCAAGAGGGAGGAAAAGGCAAAGAAGAAGAAGAAAAAGAAAAAACAUG